rnacentral:miRNA from 1 species
CCAAGGUCAUGAUCGAUCGGC